rnacentral:lncRNA from 1 species
GUAUCUAGUAACUGUUGGUGAAUCUCUGUUUCCUUUUGAAGAGCAAAAUCUUUUAUUAUUAUGUUAAAGAAAAACCUUUCAUUUUCAUAAUUGGUUCAUGGUCUGGACAAACGAUGUUUCAUUGUAUAACGAAAUCUUUGUCAACAAAAAUGAAGUUCCUACAUGCACUAUUCACAUUAUACCUCCAAAAUGCACUCCUCUCUGUCAACCGUGUGAUGUCUAUUUUUACAGACAAAUAAAAAAUUUUAUAAGAUGCUUGCAAAAUUCUGCAUCUUUAUUAGAUCAUAGCUAUUUAACUUCUAGGAAGAUGCAAUCAAACUGCAUGCUUUCUCAUCAGCUUCCAGCCCA